GACGAACGCUGGCGGCGUGCUUAACACAUGCAAGUCGAACGGAAAGGCCCUGCUUGCAGGGUACUCGCGUGGCGAACGGGUGAGUAACACGUGGGUGAUCUGCCCUGCACUUCGGGAUAAGCCUGGGAAACUGGGUCUAAUAUAGGAUAGGAGCCCUUCUUCUUGAGAUGGUUGGAAAGAUUUUUUGGUGUAGGGUGAGCUCGCGGGCUAUCAGCUUGUUGGUGGGGUAAUGGCCUACCAAGGCGGCGGCGGGUAGCCGGCCUGGGAGGGUGGACGGCCACAAUGGGGCUGGGAAUCGGCCCAGGCUCCUACGGGGAGCAGCAGGGGGGAAUAUUGCACAAUGGGCGCAAGCCUGAUGCAGCGACGCCGCGGGGGGGAUUACGGCCUUCGGGUUGUAAACUCCUUUCGCUAGGGACGAAGCUUUGUGUGACGGUACCUAGAUAAGAAGCACCGGCUAACUACGUG
rnacentral:rRNA from 1 species